rnacentral:rRNA from 1 species
GACGUAGGGCGCAAGCGUUGUCCGGAUUUAUUGGGCGUAAAGAGCUCGUAGGCGGCCUGUCGCGUCGACCGUGAAAACCCGCAGCUCAACUGCGGGCUUGCGGUCGAUACGGGCAGGCUGGAGUUCGGUAGGGGAGACUGGAAUUCCUGGUGUAGCGGUGAAAUGCGCAGAUAUCAGGAGGAACACCGAUGGCGAAGGCAGGUCUCUGGGCCACUACUGACGCUGAGAAGCGAAAGCAUGGGGAGCGAACAGG